rnacentral:misc_RNA from 1 species
UUUAUUACAAAACCCGAUAAAGUAUUAUACGAAUCCAUCAAAAGGGGGUAACUAUCAACUAUUGUUAUAACAGGAUGGGUUCCAUCUACAGUUGCACAGCUAUAGCUCGUAGCGGUUGAGCCUUCCGCAAGGUGAUGCCAAACUUAUCUUCCAUGUCCAUGUCCAUGCUCUCUUGUGUAAUUCCAUCUUCAAGUUUCCAGUCAAAGGAAUUAAUAAGUGACCCCAACAUUAAAUGCAACAUUCUGAUUGCCAAUGGCAAUCCAGGGCAAAUUCUCCGUCCAGCACCAAAAGGGAUAAGUUCAAAAUCACGCCCUCGAACAUCCAUAUCCAACCCCAAGAAUCUCUCUGGCAGAAAUGUGUCUGGAUCCUCCCAUAGACUUGGGUCUCUACCUAUGGCCCAUGCAUUGACCAACACUUGAGCAUCUUUAGGCACCGUGAAGCCACAAAUUUCUACAUCUGCCCCUGCUUUGUGGGGGACUAGUAAGGGAACUGCUGGAUGCAAUCUGAAGUUUUCUUUGAUAAUUGCUUUCAGGUAAGGUAACUUAGCAAUGUCUGAUUCCUGUAACAAGUUGCCUUUGCCAAUUAUCUGCUCAAUCUCCUCUCUAGCUCUCAUUAAAGUCUUGGGGUUGCGUAGAAGUUCUGUCAUCGCCCACUCCAAUGUGCUUGAAGUUGUAUCAGUCCCAGCAACAAAUAGGUCCUAUAUACAAAUUGUUUAAGAUAACAGCAUUAGUAUUACCCAGCUACGCAAUGAGUGAGAAAAGAUUUUACAAGGUCCUCCCCAAUCUUCUUAUUUAGUGGAUUAAAAAAGUGAAAGAUUUUGAAAAUUUUAAAACCUCUAAAAACCUUACCUCCUUUGAAAUAUUCAUCUCAAAUAUGAUACUUUAAAAAUGCAUUGUUUAAUCUUGAAAAACAUCCUCCCAAACGCUGUAAAGAGGACGUCUGCUCACAUGAACAGACCGAAUACGUAGUAGAAAAUUCAAAAUAAAAGUCCAGGUGGGGAGAAAGAGAUUAGAGAAUGACGGAACUAACCAAGAAUAAACAUUUCAUGCAGUUUGUAUCUAUCUCUUUGUUGUGCUCAUUGAGGGCGAGAAGAGUGUCAAGCACGUCGUUUGCUGGGAUAUACCCCUGCUUUUUCCUUAAUUGCAACCGUUGAUCAAUUAUACGAUCAAACAGAUCAAGUAUCUUCCCGAAAUGAAUGGUCAUGCGACGCCUGAUACCUUGUGGGUCAAUACUUCUGAGCAUAGGGAAAUAAUCUGCCAAGUUCGGUUUUCCGGCCUCUUCCAUGAUGCACCUCACAACCUCCUUGAACUCCCUUACAGUAUCCGAACUUGAAUCAGACAAAUCCAGAGAAAAAAUAUUAGUCGACAGGACAUUAAGUGUAGCUUUGAAAGCUAUUUGGCCAACAUCUACUGCGGCACCUACACGGCAACUUUCUUGAACAUCAGCAAGAAGGUCUUGAAUUUUCUUAAGCCGGAUGUCUUGGUUAGCAUCUAGUUUCUGAUUGGCAAAGAUGUAAGAGUUGCAAAUUUUUCUAAGAUUUCUCCAACGAGCCCCAACAGGUAGGAAAACCACCGAUUCUUGGUGGUGUUUAUGCGCAUGGACUGCCUGAGCAACAGUUCGGUCAGAGAAAGUGAGAUCAAGCGUUUGGAGGACUUCCUUGGCCAGUGUUGCAGAAGAAAUGACUACUGUAGUUACCCGGCCUAGUUGUAGACUCAUCAGAGGGCCAUGAAUCUUGGCAAGCUUUGCCAAGGACUUGUGGGGUUGGUCACCAAGUUCAAAAAGGUUACCUAAGAUUGGUAAAGGUGCUGGACCCGGUGGAAGUUUGCCCGGACUUCUGAUUUUGCUUCCCUUUAAAAUAAAAAUCAGAGUUUGAACAAAGGCUAAGGUGAAGAGAAGACUUAGUACAGAACCCAGCAAGUACUCCAUCAUCACUACUCGCUAGUUGGGAAAUUGGAUUCUGUAUUUGCUUCAAUGGUAUUCUCCCAAAAAUAUAAUCCACU